AACGAACGCUGGCGGCAUGCCUAACACAUGCAAGUCGAACGAAGCCUUCGGGCUUAGUGGCGCACGGGUGCGUAACACGUGGGAAUCUGCCCUUCGGUUCGGAAUAACAGUUAGAAAUGACUGCUAAUACCGGAUGAUGACGAAAGUCCAAAGAUUUAUCGCCGAAGGAUGAGCCCGCGUAGGAUUAGGUAGUUGGUAGGGUAAUGGCCUACCAAGCCGACGAUCCUUAGCUGGUCUGAGAGGAUGAUCAGCCACACUGGGACUGAGACACGGCCCAGACUCCUACGGGAGGCAGCAGUGGGGAAUAUUGGACAAUGGGCGAAAGCCUGAUCCAGCAAUGCCGCGUGAGUGAUGAAGGCCUUAGGGUUGUAAAGCUCUUUUACCAGGGAUGAUAAUGACAGUACCUGGAGAAUAAGCUCCGGCUAACUCCGUGCCAGCAGCCGGGUAAAGUACUGUACU
rnacentral:rRNA from 1 species